GAGGCUUUAGCUUAAUUAAAGUGUCUGUUUUGCAUACAGGAGAUGUGGGUUAGUGUCCUGCAAGUCUUA
rnacentral:tRNA from 1 species